AGGAGCGAAGUUGAAAUGUUGGCUGGGAUCUCUCUGACCGAAGUGAUUACCAGAGUUGAUUUGCAUGUCUAUGUAUUCCCUUCCUCCUUUGCUCACUGCUUAACACCGAGUCCCUCUCAAAGCUCUGUGCUCUGUGGAAGAGGAUGAUGUCCUUCCAUGGUGGAGGAGGACCAUUUCAGGGGUAGACAAGCAGUGUGCUCCCCUGCUAGAACCUCCAAGCAAGCUCUUGAGAAGAACGAGAUUUGGGGGCUCACGGUUUGAUGCCGUCAAUGUUUGAGGCCUGUGACAAGAU
rnacentral:snRNA from 1 species